ensembl:lncRNA
GAGAGAGAGUUGGAGCGGUGAGAGCAGAGAGAGAGAGAGGUGGAGCGGUGAGAGCAGAGAGAGAGAGAGAGGUGGAGCGGUGAGAGCAGAGAGAGAGAGAGGUGGAGCGGUGAGAGCAGAGAGAGAGAGGUGGAGCGGUGAGAGCAGAGAGAGAGAGGUGGAGCGGUGAGAGCAGAGAGAGAGAGAGGAGGAGCGGUGAGAGCAGAGAGAGAGAGGAGGAGCGGUGAGAGCAGAGAGAGAGAGAGUGGGAGCGGUGAGAGCAGAGAGAGAGAGAGAGUUGGAGCGGUGAGAGCAGAGAGAGAGAGAGGUGGAGCGGUGAGAGAAGAGAGAGAGAGAGGUGGAGCGGUGAGAGCAGAGAGAGAGAGAGUUGGAGCGGUGAGAGCAGAGAGAGAGAGAGUUGGAGCGGUGAGAGCAGAGAGAGAGAGUUGGAGCGGUGAGAGCAGAGAGAGAGAGAGUGGAGCGGUGAGAGCAGAGAGAGAGAGGAGGAGCGGUGAGAGCAGAGAGAGAGAGAGGUGGAGCGGUGAGAGCAGAGAGAGAGACACUGGACACUGAAUCAGCUCACAUUAAGGCACUGCAGGAAAAAAAUAAAUGGGGUGUUAUUCAGUUUCACAGUGAACAGAGGAGCCGGCAGAAAAAAAGAAAACGCUUCCCCGAUGAGACUGAAGAUGACAUAGCAAACGAACAGAAGUCAGACACUGGAUUUUGCUAAACACAGUGUUUUAUGUGGCUCUGGAUAGUAUAAUCAGUCAUUUGCACAUGCGGUUCCAC